rnacentral:lncRNA from 1 species
CGGCCGCAGAUCCCGGCAACUUGCGAGCCGGGAAAAGUUUGCGGCGCCUCCGCGGGGCGGCGCGACGCGGCCCGUACCUCGCGUCCGCGGUCAUCGCGGGUGACUUUCUCGACUCGUCGUCAGCCGGGGCCGCUGCGCGGCCGGCGGGGACUGCGGGGCGGGCCGGAGUCCGUCCGAGGGCUCCCGCACCUCGGGCUGCGGGAACAUUAAAAUCUCCCCAGAUGCUCACUGCUCUGAUCAUUUCCCCUACAGCAUCAGACAUGUUGGCAUCAUCUCUUAGUUGGGCCCUGUGGCCAGGGAACCUUUCAUGAAACCACCUCUGCAGUCCUGGAGAGUUGCUGUAGAAGAAGGAAAAGAGAAGAAGACAACACAACACAGGAGGGGAUAAGUACCUCUGGACACAAUGGAAGUAGUAGUUGUUGAGCAGAGGGAAAGGGAUAGGAGAAGGAUGUGGACUGCAGUGCGGCAGUGCCAGGAAGUUCGAGGACCUUCAGAAAUCAAUCCAUGGGCUCCACAAGCACUGUAUCAAGAGGCAUUCGAGACCAGUCUGGGCUGGAGGUGGACAUGAGAGAAAGAUCCCAUAGCCCUCUUGGUCUUGGUUGGAACCGGAGGAAAAUGAAAACUGGACAUCCAUCUUAGGACUUAAUCCUACGGAGACCACAAGCUG